GACGAACGCUGGCGGCGUGCUUAACACAUGCCAGUCGAACGGGAUUUAGUAAACAGAAACCUCGGUGGAAGAUUACUAAUGAGAGUGGCGAACGGGUGAGUAACGCGUGAGCAACCUGCCUAUGACAGUGGGAUAGCCUCGGGAAACCGGGAUUAAUACCGCAUAAAAUCGUAGAAACACAUGUUUUAACGGUCAAAGAUUUAUCGGUCAUAGAUGGGCUCGCGUCUGAUUAGCUAGUUGGUGAGAUAACAGCCCACCAAGGCGACGAUCAGUAGCCGGUCUGAGAGGAUGAACGGCCACAUUGGAACUGAGACACGGUCCAAACUCCUACGGGAGGCAGCAGUGGGGAAUAUUGCACAAUGGGGGAAACCCUGAUGCAGCGACGCCGCGUGAACGAAGAAGGUAUUCGUAUCGUAAAGUUCUGUCCUAUGGGAAGAUAAUGACAGUACCAUAGAAGAAAGCUCCGGCUAAAUACGUG
rnacentral:rRNA from 1 species